rnacentral:rRNA from 1 species
UGGGGAAUUUUGCGCAAUGGGCGAGAGCCUGACGCAGCAACGCCGCGUGGAGGAUGAAGGUCCUUGGAUUGUAAACUCCUGUCAGCAGGGAAAAAGGGAUAGGCGUUAAUACCGCUUAAACUUGAUUGUAGCUGCAGAGGAAGCCCCGGCUAACUCUGUGCCAGCAGCCGCGGUAAUACAGAGGGGGCGAGCGUUAUUCGGAAUUAUUGGGCGUAAAGGGCGCGUAGGCGGCCAUUCAAGUGACGGGUGAAAGCCCUCGGCUUAACCGAGGAACUGCCUGUCAGACUGGGUGGCUUGAGACCGGGAGAGGUGAGUGGAAUUCCCAGUGUAGCGGUGAAAUGCGUAGAUAUUGGGAGGAACACCAGUGGCGAAGGCGGCUCACUGGACCGGAACUGACGCUGAGGCGCGAAAGCGUGGGGAGCAAA